GAUCAGUUUCAGUUGUGUGUGCCAGCAGGUCCCAGGGCCUGCAGAUCCCUCCUGGCAGCCAAAGCAGGGCAAUUGGCCUGCAUGCACUUCUUUUGUGCUAAAUCAGAAGAACCCCACCUCCCCUCUGCAGGGGACAAAUAUAGUAGUGGGAUUGGCCAGGUGCCAUAUGCCACACAUGCUCAAGCAGGACAAAGGAGUACACAAUGAGUCUGAAACUGGGAAAGAUAAUCCCACACAAGGCAGCAAGUCCAGUACAAGCCAUAAGAAUCCUUUAUCUCAUGCACCAUGGUGUCCCUUCUUUCAGUGGAAAUUUGUCUUCAAAGAAUUUCCAUUUUCAACAUCAUUUCCCCAUAAGUUUCCUGGCUUUCCUUCAGAGCUGUUUGCUUUCAAGCUGCUAGAUUCCUCCAAACCAGGUUAUACUGAACAUGCAAGUGGGAUGACCCAAGUAAAUGUUUCGUGUGAUGCAGCUCCUCGAAAUCUACAAAUUCAGCAUGAGGCUCUUACAAAUAGUAAAGGAUGUUGGCUUAUGGUAGAGGCUCCUCCUGAGACUACAGAAGAGAUGAUGACCUGAGCCAAAAUCAAGAGUCAGACACUUAACCAACUGAACCACCUAGGUGCCCAAGAUAAUGGCAUUUCUGAAAGAGGAGGAAAUUCCUACAGAAAUCAAGGUAUCAUUACUCCCAACCCAGUAGCACUUCAUGCUUUUCCCCAAAUCACUAUAAAAAUCAUCCAAAGGGAACAUACUAGCAUGAAUUACUAAAACAAAUGUUAUAGAUCAUAAUCCAAGAAGAUGAAAAAAAAAAAAGAAUUUGAGAGAGAAUGCAUAAGAUAAAUAUUGGUGUGCAAAGAGACCAAUAAAACUAACAGUUAAAGCCA
rnacentral:lncRNA from 12 species